UUUUUUGUUCUCAAGAUUGCUUUGGCUAUUCGGGGUCUUUUGUGUUUCCAUACAAAUUUUGAAAUUUUUUGUUCUAGUUCUGUGAAAAAUGCCAGUGGUAGUUUGAUAAGGAUUGCAUUGAAUCUGUAGAUUGCUUUGGGUAGUAGAGUCAUUUUCACAAUGUUGAUUCUUCCAAUCCAAGAACAUGGUAUAUCUCUCCAUUUAUUUGUAUCAUCUUUAAUUUCUUUCAUCAGUGUCUUAUAAUUUUCUGCAUACAGGUCUUUUGUCUCCCUAAGUAGAUUUAUUCCUAGAUAUUUUAUUCUUUUUGUUGCAAUGGUAAAUGGAAGUGUUUCCUUGAUUUCACUUUCAGAUUUUUCAUCAUUAGUGUAUAGGAAUGCCAGAGAUUUCUGUGCAUUAAUUUUGUAUCCUGCCACUUUACCAAAUUCAUUGAUUAGUUCUAGUA